GACGAACGCUGGCGGCGUGCUUAACACAUGCCAGUCGAACGGAAAGGCCUGCUUUCCCUUGUGGAUUGGGGGUACUCGAGUGGCGAACGGGUGAGUAACACGUGAGUGAUCUGCCCCCAACUUGGGUAUAAGCCUGGGAAACUGGGUCUAAUUCCCGAUAGGACUGCAGGGUGGUGCCUGUGGUGGAAAACGAUUUUCUAGUGGUUGGGGAUGAGCUCGCGGCCUAUCAGCUUGUUGGUGGGGUAAUGGCCUACCAAGGCGGCGACGGGUAGCCGGCCUGAGAGGGUGGACGGCCACAUUGGGACUGAGAUACGGCCCAGACUCCUACGGGAGGCAGCAGUGGGGAAUAUUGCACAAUGGGCGGAAGCCUGAGGCAGCGACGCCGCGUGGGGGAUGACGGCCUUCGGGUUGUAAACUCCUUUCGACCGCGAGGAAGCCACCUGGUUGGAAGGGUGGUGACGGUAGUGGGAGAAGAAGCACCGGCUAACUACGUG
rnacentral:rRNA from 1 species